AGUCGAGCGGUAGAGAGAAGCUUGCUUCUCUUGAGAGCGGCGGACGGGUGAGUAAUGCCUAGGAAUCUGCCUGGUAGUGGGGGAUAACGCUCGGAAACGGACGCUAAUACCGCAUACGUCCUACGGGAGAAAGCAGGGGACCUUCGGGCCUUGCGCUAUCAGAUGAGCCUAGGUCGGAUUAGCUAGUUGGUGAGGUAAUGGCUCACCAAGGCGACGAUCCGUAACUGGUCUGAGAGGAUGAUCAGUCACACUGGAACUGAGACACGGUCCAGACUCCUACGGGAGGCAGCAGUGGGGAAUAUUGGACAAUGGGCGAAAGCCUGAUCCAGCCAUGCCGCGUGUGUGAAGAAGGUCUUCGGAUUGUAAAGCACUUUAAGUUGGGAGGAAGGGCAUUAACCUAAUACGUUAGUGUUUUGACGUUACCGACAGAAUAAGCACCGGCUAACUCUGUGCCAGCAGCCGCGGUAAUACAGAGGGUGCAAGCGUUAAUCGGAAUUACUGGGCGUAAAGCGCGCGUAGGUGGUUCGUUAAGUUGGAUGUGAAAUCCCCGGGCUCAACCUGGGAACUGCAUUCAAAACUGUCGAGCUAGAGUAUGGUAGAGGGUGGUGGAAUUUCCUGUGUAGCGGUGAAAUGCGUAGAUAUAGGAAGGAACACCAGUGGCGAAGGCGACCACCUGGACUGAUACUGACACUGAGGUGCGAAAGCGUGGGGAGCAAACAGGAUUAGAUACCCUGGUAGUCCACGCCGUAAACGAUGUCAACUAGCCGUUGGGAGCCUUGAGCUCUUAGUGGCGCAGCUAACGCAUUAAGUUGACCGCCUGGGGAGUACGGCCGCAAGGUUAAAACUCAAAUGAAUUGACGGGGGCCCGCACAAGCGGUGGAGCAUGUGGUUUAAUU
rnacentral:rRNA from 1 species